GUCUACGGCCAUACCACCCUGAACGCGCCCGAUCUCCUCUGAUCUUGGAAGCUAAGCAGGGUCGGGCCUGGUUAGUAACUGGAUGGGAGACAAGUGGCCGGGCGCGUGUCCC
rnacentral:rRNA from 1 species